UGUAAUUUUGUAAUGUCAUAUAUCCUGAAAUAAUUGUUUUGUGCGAUGAAAGUUAACUAUUCUGCUAAAUGGAGCAAUAAUUUCUAAUUACUAGUAAACAAUUUACGAGAUAAAAUACGACAAAUGUUAAUAACGUCUGUUAUAUAGUAUCUUUGAUAUUACAUGAGACCUUUACUAUAUAUUUAGAUACGGAGAGAAGAUUUCCAUUUUUUAUAACACUUCCUCUAUCUGUCAUAGUAGCAGGUGUUUUGAUUAUAAUUACGCUGAUAUUGCUGAUGGCUAUAAUCAAUAUUAGAUCAUUUAGACGAAUAAGCAUUUACAAAGAUAAGCUCAAAAAGUAAAUGAAAGGUUACCUGGUACAGAGUUUUCGACUUAUACUGGAAUCGAAGAAAAUAACGAAGAGCUAAAUAAUCUCGGGUAUAACGAAUUGGUUGUUAGUACGUCACACCGUUGUGCUGAAUGCCAUGACAUUUAAAUGGACACAAGAGCCGACGCGAUGGAAUACCAGGGUUAUCUUGUUCCUGAACAGCAUAACCAUACAAUACCGGAAACGGAUGUUCUUUACGCAAACAAUAUUGCAGUCAAUUGAUAUUAAGAAUCUGUUACAAACUAGCGUUUGUAAGUUGGUUUAUACUUAGCAUGUAUUGUAAUAGACAAAGAGAUAGAGAAGAUAAUGAAAAUAUAAACAUAUA